ACCAGUUAACAAGGGAGAAAACAAGGUCAGCAUGACAAGCACAAGACCCCUAUCCCCUCCCUCUCUGUUGCUUGCGUCAUCGCUCAUGGGAAACUGCCAAAAAUGACAAGACCAUUAAUCAUUGAAGAGACUUUUGAUAUUCAGAAAAUUGAACUGCGAACUAUCAAGGAUCCACCAAAGAGCGGAGGGGCCAUGGCAUUGAAUCUGAUAAACCGUCAUGGCUGCCCCUAUCAGUAGCUCAAGCUGCAGGCUGAAAGUGGGUGGAAGUUGAAGAGCAGCGUAAUCACCAAUCUCACUCCUGCCUUGCCCUCCUGCCAGCACUAUGGCAGCAUCAACUACCCAUGACUCAGCUAAACUGAAGGACUACCUCUUUAAUAGAAUCCACAUCUUUUUGCAUUUUGUGAAAUGUGCAAUAUCAGUGAUCAGGUCUAUUCUUGUCUCUCCCUCUCUCUCUCUGUGUGUGUUUAAACUUAUUUAGAGUUGAAAGCUUCAUUCUAUAUUCUAUUUUUUUCUAAUAAUGUUUUUUUUUUUUUUGUAAUAAUUUAUUCUGUAUUUAUCAUUGCUUAGUUCCAACCCUUUAUGUGUAUAGGUUUAUUUAAUGACAUAUUUAUUUAUUUAAUGUUUUAUUUGUAUAGGGACAGAUACAAUAACUGGGACAACAGCCAUCCAAUGCAUGUAUCAUAGUGCUUGUAGCUGCUAAUUUGCAACACUUGUCCCUAGAAGGGCUUUUAUAAAUUCCAGUUACAACAACAAACUAAUAAUAAUAAUAAUAAUAAUAAUAAUAAUAAAGGGGAAAAAACUAAACAUGAGUACAAGUUUGUUGCUGAAUUAACCAAGACAUAGUAGCUUUUUAAAAAAAUAUUAAAACUUGCAGCAUAUUUUAAAUAAUCAGGUAAUGAGUUCCAAAUUUUUUCACCUUUCACUGAGAGGGCAGUCUGAGCAAAGGAUGUUUUACAAAACAAAAUUUUACAAUUUCCACUAAAAGUUGCUCUUGUGGAUCUGCUGCACCCCUGCAAUCUCUCUCUCUCUCUCUCUCUCUCUCUCUC